rnacentral:tRNA from 1 species
GGGGUUGUAGCUCAGUGGUAGAGUGCUUGCCUAGCAUGUAUGAGACCCUGGGUUUGAUCCCCAGCACCA